AUACGGAGGAUCCGAGCGUUAUCCGGAUUUAUUGGGUUUAAAGGGUGCGCAGGCGGCCAUUUAAGUCAGCGGUUAAAUCGUGGGGCUCAACCCCAUUCUGCCGUUGAUACUGGGUGGCUUGAUUGCGGUCGAGGUUGGCGGAAUUCGUUGUGUAGCGGGGAAAUGCAUAGAUAUGACGAAGAACACCGAUUGCGUAGGCAGCUGACCAGAUCGCAAAUGACGCUCAUGCACGAAAGUGCGGGGAUCGAACAGGAUUAGAUACCCUGGUAGUCCGCACAGUAAACGAUGAAUACUUGUUUUCGGCGAUAUAAUGUCGGAGGCAAAGCGAAAGCGAUAAGUAUUCCACCUGGGGAGUACGCCGGCAACGGUGAAACUUAAAGGAAUUGACGGGG
rnacentral:rRNA from 1 species